UAAGGAAUAUUGGUCAAUGGACGCAAGUCUGAACCAGCCAUGCCGCGUGAAGGAUUAAGGCCCUCUGGGUUGUAAACUUCUUUUAUAUGGGACGAAAUGUGCCGAUUCUUCGGCACUUGACGGUACCAUAGGAAUAAGCACCGGCUAACUCCGUGCCAGCAGCCGCGGUAAUACGGAGGGUGCAAGCGUUAUCCGGAUUCACUGGGUUUAAAGGGUGCGUAGGCGGGCAGGUAAGUCAGUGGUGAAAUCUUCCGGCUUAACCGGAAAACUGCCGUUGAUACUAUUUGUCUUGAAUAUUGCGGAGGUAAGCGGAAUAUGUCAUGUAGCGGUGAAAUGCUUAGAUAUGACAUGGAACACCAAUUGCGAAGGCAGCUUACUAUGCGGUGAUUGACACUGAGGCACGGAAGCGUGGGUAGCAAACA
rnacentral:rRNA from 1 species